GAUGAACGCUAGCGGCAGGCCUAACACAUGCAAGUCGAGGGGUAGAACACUUCGGUGUUUGAGACCGGCGCACGGGUGCGUAACGCGUAUGCAAUCUACCUUGUACAGGGGAAUAGCCCAGAGAAAUUUGGAUUAAUGCCCCAUAGUAUAUAACCUUCGCAUGUUGGUUAUAUUAAAGUUCACACGGUACAAGAUGAGCAUGCGUCCCAUUAGUUCGUGGGUAAGGUAACGGCUUACCAAGACGAUGAUGGGUAGGGGUCCUGAGAGGGAGAUCCCCCACACUGGUACUGAGACACGGACCAGACUCCUACGGGAGGCAGCAGUGAGGAAUAUUGGUCAAUGGGCGCAAGCCUGAACCAGCCAUGCCGCGUGCAGGAAGACGGUCCUAUGGAUUGUAAACUGCUUUUAUACAGGAAGAAACAACUCUACGUGUAGAGUCUUGACGGUACUGUAGGAAUAAGGAUCGGCUAACUCCGUGCCAGCCGCCGCCGUAAAAC
rnacentral:rRNA from 1 species